rnacentral:rRNA from 1 species
AGAGUUUGCUUCUGGCUCAGAUUGAACGCUGGCGGCGUGCUUAACACAUGCAAGUCGUGCGAGAAAGGGGGCUUCGGUCCCUGAGUAGAGCGGCGCGCGGGUGAGUAACGCGUGGGUGAUCUACCCGGAAGUCUGGGAUAUCGGUGGGAAACUGCCGCUAAUACCGGUUAAUCUUCCAAUUCGAAUUGGAGGGAAAGACGGCCUCUGCUUGCAAGCUGUCGCUUUCGGAUGAGCCCGCGUCCCAUUAGCUCGUUGGCGGGGUAACGGCCCACCAAGGCAACGAUGGGUAGCUGGUCUGAGAGGAUGAUCAGCCACACUGGGACUGGAACACGGCCCAGACUCCUACGGGAGGCAGCAGUGGGGAAUAUUGCGCAAUGGGGGAAACCCUGACGCAGCGACGCCGUGUGAGGGAAGAAGGCCUUCGGGUCGUAAACCUCUGUCGGGAGGGAAGAACCGCCGGGUUCCGAACAGGGACUCGGCCUGACGGUACCUCCGAAGGAAGCGCCGGCUAACUCCGUGCCAGCAGCCGCGGUAAUACGGAGGGCGCGAGCGUUAAUCGGAAUCACUGGGCGUAAAGCGCGCGUAGGCGGCCAGAUAAGUCGGGCGUGAAAGCCCUCGGCUCAACCGAGGAACUGCGUUCGAUACUGUUUGGCUUGGGUCCUGGAGAGGGUGGCGGAAUUCCGGGUGUAGGAGUGAAAUCCGUAGAUAUCCGGAGGAACACCGGUGGCGAAGGCGGCCACCUGGACAGGUACUGACGCUGAGGUGCGAAAGCGUGGGGAGCAAACAGGAUUAGAUCCCCUGGUAGUCCACGCUGUAAACGAAAGAGGCUAGGUGUCAGGGGGCGACCCUCAAUGCCGGAGGUUAACGCAUUAAGCAUCCCACAUGGGGAGUACGGUCACAAGGCUGAAACUCAAGGGGAGUUGACGGGGGCCCGCACAAGCGGUGGAGUCUGUGGUUUAAUUCGAUGCAACGCGAAGAACCUUACCUGGGUUUGACAUCCCUCGAACCCUCCGGAAAUGGAGGGGUGCCCUUCGGGGAGCGGGGAGACAGGUGCUGCAUGGCUGUCGUCAGCUCGUGCCGUGAGGUGUUGGGUUAAGUCCCGCAACGAGCGCAACCCUUGUCCUUAGUUGUUUUCCCGAAAGGAUUACCCUCUAAGGGGACUGCCCCGGACAACGGGGAGGAAGGCGGGGAUGAUGUCAAGUCCGCAUGCUUCUUACGACCAGGGCUACACACGUCCUACAAUGGGGUCGACAGAGGGAUGCAAAGCCGCGAGGUAGAGCCAAUCCCUAAACGGCCUCUCAGUUCGGAUAGUAGUCUGCAACUCGACUACUUGAAGUCGGAAUCGCUAGUAAUGGCGGAUCAGCAUGCCGCCGUGAAUACGUUCCCGGGUCUUGCACACACCGCCCGUCA